rnacentral:rRNA from 1 species
AUUGAACGCUGGCGGCAGGCCUAACACAUGCAAGUCGAACGAGUGGCGGACGGGUGAGUAAUGUCUGGGAAACUGCCUGAUGGAGGGGGAUAACUACUGGAAACGUUAGCUAAUACCGCAUACCCUCGGCUUUGCCCAGAUGGGAUUAGCUAGUGGGUGGGGUAACGGCUCACCUAGGCGACGAUCCCUAGCUGGGCUGAGAGGAUGACCAGCCACAGUGGAACUGAGACACGGUCCAGACUCCUACGUGAGGGAGCAGUGGGGAAUAUUGCACAAUGGGGGCAAGCCUGAUACAGCCAUGCCGCGUGUAUGAAGAAGGCCUUCGGGUUGUAAAGUACUUUCAGCGGGGAGGCGUUACCCGCAGAAGAAGCACCGGCUAACGCCGUGCCAGCCGCCGCGGUAAUAC